rnacentral:rRNA from 1 species
CCCUUAGAUGUUCUGGGCUGCACGCGCGCUACACUGAAGCGUUCAACGAGUAUUCACCUUGCCCGGGAGGGUUGGGUAAUCUUUUGAAAACGCUUCGUGAUGGGGAUAGAUUAUUGCAAUUAUUAAUCUUCAACGAGGAAUUCCUAGUAAGCGCGAGUCAUCAUCCCGCGCUGAAUACGUCCCUGCCCUUUGUACACACCGCCCGUCGCUCCUACCGAUUGAGUGGUCCGGUGAGGCUUUGGGAUCUGAGCGGAAAGAGCGUUUCGCUGUUUCUGCUCGGAAAACUCAGUCGAACCUUAUCAUUUAGAGGAAGGAGAAGUCGUAACA